rnacentral:rRNA from 1 species
UACGUAGGGUGCGAGCGUUAAUCGGAAUUACUGGGCGUAAAGCGUGCGCAGGCGGCGCGUUAAGACAGGUAUGAAAGCCCCGAGCUUAACUUGGGAAUUGCGCUUGUGACUGGCGUGCUGGAGUGUGGCAGAGGGAGGUGGAAUUCCACGUGUAGCAGUGAAAUGCGUAGAGAUGUGGAGGAACACCGAUGGCGAAGGCAGCCUCCUGGGCCAGCACUGACGCUCAUGCACGAAAGCGUGGGGAGCAAACGGG